AUGAAUUUAAGAUUCAUAUAUAAAUAUAAUUAUUUUUCUAGAA
rnacentral:tRNA from 1 species